GUGGAAGACGUUUCCUAUUUCUUUUUUGCUGAUGAUACUGGGUACCUUAGUAGUGAUGAAGAUGCCAAGAUAGUGACUACUAAACUACAGCACGCACAAAACAAACUGGAGCAGUUUCAACACCGGUGGAAGAUUAAAAUCAAUCCAGCGAAAACCCAAGUUAUCUUUUUCACUAAGAGAAGGGCUGCCCAUCGUUUUCCCUCAACAAAGGUAAAAAUUAAUGGAGUUCCAGUCACAUGGACGAAGGAAGAAGAUCAGCUCUGCAACCAGCCAACAAGCUACUGUUAUUCAAAUGCAUUUUUCGACCAGUGCUACCUAUGGAUCGCCGGUUUGGCAAAACUGCGCAAAAAGUCACCUUAAACGACUACAAACAAAACAAAAUAAACUGUUGAAAAUGAUCUUCGCCUUGCCUCCGCAUUUCCGAACGGAUGAACUGCAUAAUAUAGCUGAGGUGGAACCGUUAACAACAUUCAUCGAAAGAACAUCAGCCAGAUUUCGGACUUCCUGUCAAACUUCUUCAAAUCCUCUGAUUGAAGCAUUAAAUCCAAGACUGUGAUAAUAGCAUAGAUAGUUUAAGAAACAGAUUCUGACUUUUAGGUUUUUUUUUGUCAAAACUUUUUCCUAUCAGUGUAAUGCUCAAUUAAUGUAAACUAAAAGCUAUUUUCCAAGACAGUGUAUAAUGAACUUAUGAUGCAGCUGCAAGAUAUAUCAAAACUCUGCAAUGUAACCGUUAUGUAAAGAAAAAUAAAAAUGAAAUGAAAUGAAAUGAAAAAA